AGCGAACGUUAGCGGCGCGCCUAACACAUGCAAGUCGCACGAGAAAGGGAGCAAUCCCCGGUACAGUGGCGCACGGGUGAGUAACACGUAGAUGACCUUCCCUGGAGUGGUGGAUAACCUGCCGAAAGGCGGGCUAAUACAGCAUGGGACCACAUGGUUUUGACCGAGUGGUGAAAGCGGGCCUCUGUUCACAAGCUCGCGCUCUGGGAUGGGUCUGCGUCCCAUCAGCUAGUUGGUGAGGUAAUGGCUCACCAAGGCAUCGACGGGUAGCUGGUCUGAGAGGAUGACCAGCCACACUGGAACUGAGACACGGUCCAGACUCCUACGGGAGGCAGCAGUGGGGAAUCUUGCGCAAUGAGCGAAAGCCUGACGCAGCGACGCCGCGUGGGUGAUGAAGGCCU
rnacentral:rRNA from 1 species